UGGCCCUUGGUGUAAUGGCAACACUACAGGUUUUGAUCCUGUCAUUGGAGGUUCGAGUCCUCCAGGGCCAGCCA
rnacentral:tRNA from 1 species